AAUACUCCCUAUUAUCUCACUCAAGUUCGAGCUCCCAGAAUUCACUACUGUGAAGCUCUCACAACAAAAUUCCCUUCAAAGAUUCUCUACUCAAAUUUGAUGAUGAUGUCCCUCCAAAGGAGGCAAAAAAUCUAACACUGAUCAAAUUGGUUUGUGAACAAUUAAUCUUCCUGGCCAUCAUGCAUACCAGGUGUGGUGAGCAAUCUUCAUUAUGACAUUUGCCUUAAUAAGCAGCUUAGUUUCCUUAACCUGAUAACUUACACAAACAAAAACAACUUGAUUAAAGUUUAAUAUUUAGAGGCAGAACAGUAAAGAAGAUGAUAUAUAUUGAUACUAAAAUUUGACCUGUGUUAUCCUGACGUCAAGAAUCACAGCAUCUCAUGUGGGCAGAAUCUUCGCAGUACAAUAUGCUUGCAAAAUUGAAGCAGCAUCUUAUCACCUGUAAUUUAAUUAAGACAAUAACUUUCCCCAACCAUUUCAAUGCAUUAUUGCCAACUAAAUUCAGAGGGUGCUAAUUAAAUAGCCUUUGAACAAUAUAUUCUUAUUCUUCUCCAAUCUAACAAUUAUUUCGAAAAUCUAAAUGACAAUCACGCAUCGAUGGCAUCAAAAUUUGGCUACAAAGCAGCCUGGAAAAGGCUUUACUCUCUGAAUGAGAGCAUGAAUUCGAAACAAAUAUGAUGAAUGAAGAAAAUAAGGCAUAAUACCACCAAAAGUAAAACUUUCUCCCAGGGCUCUAUGUUUCUGUUUGUGCUAAAACCAAUAGAAACCGAUGGAAAUGAAUUUCUAGGAAUUAGACAUAUCAGCGAAAACAGGUAUUCUGUACAAGCAAAGUAAAAUAGGGUUACCAAAAUUUUUAAGAUUGAUAUGAUACUUGAAAAAUAGGUUUGCACAGAAUUAAUUAUUCUGUCAUUGAGAUUGUUCUUUUAUAGAGAUUUACAGCACACAUAAAACUAUUAAAUCAGUAAACUAAAUCACUGAUUUAAGGAAAGAAUAAUUUCUAGGUAGAUUUUCCUAAAAUACAUAGAUUUGCACCUAAAUAGCUAUGUUACAGCUAAUGACUAAUUUACAGCACAUAUUUUUUCUAAUUUUCUAACACUCCCCCUCGAGCUGGUUUGAAGAUAUCCUCCAUAGCCAGCUUGCCAACUAGAAAAUUGAACUGUUUUGUGUGUAGUCCUUUGGUAAAGACAUCAGCCACUUGUUCUCCAGUAGGAAUGUGCUCCAUAUGAACCAAUCCAUUAUCUAUCUUCUCCUUGAUGAAAUGCUUGUCAAUCUCCACAUGUUUUGUGCGGUCAUGAAGGACUGGAUUGUGUGCUAUUGAGAUUGCUGCCUUGUUGUCACAGUACAACUACAUAGGAGAUGAUUUUGUCGCUUUUAACUCUUCCAACAGCCUCCUAAUCCACAUGAUCUCACAAAUGCCAUGGGUUACAGCUCUAAAUUCAGCCUCAGCACUGCUCCUAGCUACCACAUUCUGUUUCUUGCUUCUCCAAGUAACCAAAUUACCACCUACAAAUGAACAGUAUCCAGAAGUGGAUCUUCGGUCUACUUUGCAGGUAAAUUUACUGCAAAGGCUCUUACAAGCCCUCAAAGAUGAUAUUCUACAUACCAUGGUAACCUGACUAACAAAAAGAAACACAGUGAAUAUUAAAGGGCAUUCUGACAAUGCAAAUUUGUGCAAAUUAACAACUGCGGUUACCUGCAUAAUAGUGUCAAUACCGAGUUCCUUCCUCCAUGGAAGCAUAUGAUCAGCCCACAUGUGCUUUGCUCUGUAGCUUUUGAGUACCUGAAAUUGUUAUUACAACCAGCGGUGAAAAUUGGGUGAAAAAAUGGUAAUAUUAGCAUAAUUGAAUUUGCUUAUAGAGGAUAAACCGAUCAAAGAAAACGACAAGAUAGAAAUGAUUAUCUUAGUACCUUAAUAUCAUGCAAUAAAAAUCAUCAUGCCUUCCAGGCAGCUAUCCAUCCUCAAUUGAAACAGAGCAGACCUGGCCAUCACUUUCUUCUUCAAAGUCCAGCAACUGAACGUUGCACACAACACCACAGUGGAAGUAGUUCCAUCACCAGCCUAAUCCUUGAUUACCCCAAUGUUCUCCAUAGGGUCUUCAAAGUCAACCUAAAAAUAAAAUGAAAAUGCAAUGCAUUAUUAUUAGGGAUCUAGUGCUUGAGCUUGCUUUGACAUCAUGGUAUUAGCAAAUUCUGAUAUAGCCAAAAUGGUGAAUAAGAUGAUGUACUUGAUAAGAAAAACCUGAUUUAACAAAUAAUUAAGAAGCCGGUAACAAUCACAUAAUCUCAUCAUGUGGGGAAUGCCUUGGCAACAGAAGAUGGUGCUUUCAUUCAAGCAAUAGCAACUUUCCAAUUUCAUAAGGUAGUUUAAUGGCCCUUUUAAGAACAUCUGUACCAGCCUAACAAUUAUUCAUGGAAAUUAAAAUUCAGAAUCAUAUUAGAUUGAGAGAUGAAAUAUAAUAAGCGAUUUGGCCACCAUAUAUGCAUUUAUCACCUUCAAUUUGCUCAUCUUUGUCUGGAGUAUUGCUUCUGCAUUAACUUAAUUAGCUUGCAAGCCACCUACAAAUGGUUUUAAAUAAUGUGUGAGAGUGUGAAUUCGAACGAAUUAAUCAAAUAUGCUGACAGGAGAAACAAAAGUAAAUAACCACAAGAAGUAGAAAUAUACUUUUGUUAUAUUCAGAGCAUCUUCUUGCGUCAAGUUCUUUUCCUUUAGCUCUGUUUCUGUUUGUGCUCAAACAGAAUGGCUCAAGGGUCAAGAUAAUUUUAUGACCAUCAAUCUUUUUGCAGCCACAUGCAGACUUGAAAAACUGGUCGUGGCACUAAGGAACUUGAAAAUUAGAAAAGAUUCAGAAUGAGUGACUAAAUAUUAUAAUCGAAACUAAUUAAACAUACACGCCUAGAAAAUCUGAAACUGAACUUCUCAAAUGUAUAUGCCUCUUCGCAGCAAUUGCUUGUGGUGGAAACUUUACCGCAAGGACUUUCUCAAACCCUUGAAGAUCACACUCUACCUGAUAACAAAGAAACAUAGUCAAUAUACGAAGAUGAUUUUACUAACAAGUGAGUGCUUACACAUAUUGGAAGGAUAAUGAUUACUCAUAACCCAAAUCCCCAACACUCCCUAAUAUCUCACUCAAGUGAGUACGAGCUCCCAGAAUUCACUACUGUGAAACUCUUACAACAAAAUUCCCUUUAAAGAUUCUCUACUCAAAUUUGAUGAUGAUGUCCCUCGAAAGGAGGCAAAAAAUCUAACACUGAUCAAAUUGGCUUGUGAACAAUUAAUCUUCCUGGCGAUCAUGCAUACCAGGUGUGGUGAGCAAUCUUCAUUCUGACAUUUGCCUUAAUAAGCGGCUUAGUAUCCUUAACCUGAUAACUUACACAAACAAAAACAACUUGAUUAAAGUAUAAUAUUUAGAGGCAGAACAGUAAAGAAGAUGAUAUAUAUUGGUACUAAAAUUUGACCUGUGUUAUCCUGACGUCAAGAAUCACAGCAUCUCAUGUGGGCAGAAUAUUCGCAGUACAAGAUGCUUGCAAAAUUGAAGCAGCAUCUUAUCACCUGUAAUUUAAUUAAGACAAUAACUUUCCCCAACCAUUUCAAUGCAUUAUUGGCAACUAAAUUCAGAGGGUGCUAAUUAAAUAGCCUUUGAACAAUAUAUUCUAAUUCUUCUCCAAUCUAACAAUUAUUUGGAAAAUCUGAAUGACAAUCAUGCAUCGACGACAUCAAAAUUUGGCUACAAAGCAGCCUGGAAAAGGCUUUACUCUCUGAAUGAGAGCAUGAAUUCGAAACAAAUAUCAUGAAUGAAGAAACAAAGGCAUAAUACCACAAAAAGUAAAACUUUUCCCAGGGCUAUCUGUUUCUGUUUGAACUAAAACCAAUGGAAACCGAUGGAAAUGAAUUUCUAGGAAUUAGACAUAUCAGCCAAAACAGGUACUCUGUACAAGCAAAGUAAAAUAGGGUUACAAAAAAUUUUAAGAUUGAUAUGAUAAUUAAAAUUUCAGUCACCAUAUAAUUAAUAGAAAACUUUGGACACAAUGAUUUAUUGCAUAUUAAGAUUGCUAUAUAAAAUAUAAUAUUAGCAUUAGGAGACCGCACCGAAGCAUACCGAAUUGAAUGUGCCUUUUCACAGCCAUUUUACAAGCUUUGAAGCUUCACCACAAAUGCUUUUUCCAACCCGUGAACAUGGUGCACCCGAGAGAUGCAAGCUAUGAAAUUGUUACUACAGCAAGCGUUGGAACAUUUGUUAAAAAAGGAAGUUUAUGAAAAUACGCCUUUGGAUACCAGUCUUCAGGAAUCAAUUCAUCCGUAAUAACAAUUUUCAAGAAUUAUCAACUGCUUUAAGCUCAUCGACAUCACAAAGAUCUCAACUAAAAUAGAGCAGAUCCGGCCAUCACUAUCCCUUCUACUGCUCUUUUCCUUUAGAGAAUGAUUGAAUUACAGAAUGCGUGUAAGGCAUUCUUAUUCAAGGUCCAAUGAUCAAACCUUGCACUAUAACAACAGAGGUAGUAGUUUCUUCGCCAGCCUAAUCCUUGGUCUCAGGAAUGUCCUCAACAGAGUACUCGAAAUCAACCUAAAAAUUAAGAAUGAGUUGGAAAACUGUUUAUGGCCCUAAAGAACUUGAAAAUAAGAAAAGAUUAAGAAUGAGUGACUAAACAUUUAAUCGCAACUAAACAUACAAACCUUGAAAAUCUAACUUUGAAGUACUCUUGAAUGAAUGAGCAGUUGCACGAGCUGGUGACAACUAAGGUUACUGUGAAGUCUCUUACAAAUCCUUAAAGAUGAUACUUUACAUACCACGAUAACCUGAUAACACAUAGGAACACAAUAAACAUUAAAGUGUAUUCUGACAAUGCAAAUUUGUGGAAAUCAUCAGCUGUGGUUACCUGGACAAUAUUGCCAACACCAAACUCCUUCCUCAAUUGAAACAUAUGAUCAGCCCACAAAUGCUUUGCUUUGUAGCUUUUGAGAGCCUGAAAUUGUUAUCACAACCAACAAUGAAAAUUGGGUGAAAAAAUUGAUAAUAUUAGCUUAAUUCCAUAUGUUUAUAUAGGAUAAACCGAUCAAAGAAUGAAAAAAGAUAGAAACAGAGCAGACCCAGCCAUCACUUUCUUCUUCAAAGUCGCACCAUAACCACAGUGGUAGUCGUUCCACUGCCAGCCUAAUCCUUGGUCACCCCAAUGUUCUCCAUGAAGUAUUCAAAGUCAACCUAAAAAUAAAUAAAAAUGCAAUGCAGGUGGAAAUGAAAAUUCUAUAAAUUAAAUAAAAUAAAAAUGCAAUGCUUGAGCUUGAGCUUGCUUUAGCAUCAUCGUAAUAGUAAAUUUUGAUAUAUCUUUACUUCUCUGUUCUUGUUUAUUCACAACAAGAUAUCAAUAGAAGAAGAUGGAAAUGAAAUUCUAUAAAAUAAAGCAAGUGAAUUACCAACAGAACAUUUUAGCAAUCCUUUGGCUAAACUUUUCAUUUUCUUAGCAUACUCUCCUGCCUGGUGAACAUAAUUAAACAAGUAUGAAAUAAAACAAAGUGGGCUAAUGUAGUAAAAACAAUAACACAAUUACUUUAAAGAAUUAAUGUCACGUAUAUUAUAUAUAAAAAAAUACGAUUAUCAUUAUAUAAGAUAAAAUUGAUAAUUUAGUUUUCAACAUUACUGCAAACGUAUCACAGAGAUUUUGUUACACAUAACAAAUUUUCGUACAUAUGAAAAUAAAUUACAUUGCAUGAAAUUUUACAAAAGAGCACAUAUUUUUUAAAAGUAAAUAAAUAUAGAAAUUUCAACAGACUACACUUGUAUUUUUUUUUAAUUAUUUAAUCUUUAGAAAACAAGUUUAACAGAUUUGAUAACUAGGAAGUUUUACGUAUUUAUACCAUGAUUGAUUCUAUAUAGAAUUUUAAUUCAAAAUAUAAUUAUUUUUAUUAAUUUCAUUGCAAGCAACAACGAAGUAAAUUAGAGGAGGAGGAGAAAUUACCGGCGAGUGAUAAAUUACCGCGACCACUUGAUGUGGGGAAUGCGAGAUAUCUUAUGCCAGUCUUCUCCUUUCCCCUCUCUAUAACGGUUUUCCAGAAGAGGACAUCUGUCAAUAGUCAAUUCCUGCAGCGUCGUCGUCCGAAGAAGGUAAUCCGGCAGCACCUUUAAUUUGGGGCAAUACUCAAUUACCAAGGAAGAAAGACGUGGUAUGUCUGUUGUCCUGUGAUCUUCUAGAAUGGGCAGUUCUUCCAUAUUUGCACAAAAAGAAAUCCUCAGUUUCUGCAGUGCCGUCGUUCGAAGAAGGUAAUCCGGCAGCGCCUUCAAUUUGUUGCAAGAACGAACUUCCAAGGAAGAAAGACGGGGCAUGAUAGAGAUGUUUUCCUUCCUCGUAAUCCUGUAAUUCCACUCUUCCAAUUCUUCCAUGUCCCAAAUUAUGAGUGAUUUCAAUUUGGGGAAGGCAGUAACUGAUGAUGAUGAUGAAGAUGAAGACGGGCCAUCCUCACUGCUUUCUUCUAUUCCCAAAAACUCAUUACCCACUCUUUUUACACUUUUCAAGUACCAUAGUUCGAGUUUUUCCAGAGGCAAUUUUCCCAAAGGAGGCAAAUGCUCACACUUAAGGCACGAGCGAAGAUAUAAAUUCCUUAGAUUGGUCAGUGAAGUCAACCAUUUGGGAAAAAUGUUGCGUCCAUAUAAUAUAAUCCCUAAUUUCUCUACACUCAAAGGCGGUUGUAAGGCUUUAAGAAGUUGUUCAUCUUUCUCUUUCUUCCUCCUCCUUUCUUCAUCUUCCCCAUCUACGACUCUACCAAACUCAAGACGCAAACGAAGGAGGUUUUGCUGAUUGUAAAGUUGUAAUCUCUCGACCUCAUCUAAACGGGACACAUUACCCAGCCCUUCAAUUCCACAUUCUCGAAGGAGUUGAAGAUUUUUCAGAGAUUCAAGCCUACAAGUAUUGCUACCAUCAACACCUCCACCCACCACAAACUUGUCUAAUGUUCGAAGACUGGUUAAUUUGGAAAUCCCUACUGGCAUGUAUUUCAACGAAUAAGUUUCAGCAUUCAGUAAACUCCUCAUGUUCUUUAACUUCCCAAUCCCCGCUGGCAAUUCUUUAAGAUUUCGGCACCGCCUAAUAUCUAGCUUUUGUAAAUUAUAUAAUUCACACAAAGUCUUAGGUAGUCUCUCUAUGCCUAAUUCAGACAAAUUAAGAUAUCUUAAAUGUAUCAAUUUUCCGACAUUUUUUGGAAUUUCUCUAAUCAAACUUGAGUGAAGACGAACAGGCGAGGAUGAUAGCCUUAUAACUAAUGAUUCCCUUAUAACUAAUGCCCUCAAACAUGCCAAUUUACUAAAUAACUUUCGAGUUUCUCUAAUCUUAUAUGUGUUUGGACAAAAACAUAGGCGCAACAGCCUUAUAACUAAUGCCCUUAAACAUUCUUUGCUACUACUAAAAGACGAAAGGAUGCUACUAAGAGACAGAUUGAAAUCACUUCUAUCAUAAAUUAAAAGGGUACGCAAUCUAUCAAGUCCACGAAUGGAUAUAGGAAAUGAAGUGCCUCUUUGAAAAUUUAACCCUAAGUGACGGACUUUGUCACCAAAAGAGUUUAUGACUGAGUCUUUGGUACCAUUAAUUUCUACCCACAAACAUUCUUUUCUACUUACAAAUUGGGCAAAAUCAUGUAUUAUGUCAUGCAUCUUGCAGCUCAUAAUAUCAUCAUCAUCAUCUUUUUUAAACUCUUGAAAGAAAGAGCGUGCUGCUAAAAUGUUGAAAUACUCUUCCCCAAUCAUCUCCAUCUCUUCGUCUUCUUCUGUAUUAAGAUAACCUUGAGCCAUCCAUAGUGAAAUUAGUUCCUCUUUAUUCAUAUUGUAGUUUUUUGGAAAGACAGCACAAUAUGAGAAACAUUGUUUUACCAUAGAAUUGGAGGGCAAAUCGUUAUAACUCAACAACAAAGGAGCUAAAAGACCUUGCCCAAUUGCUUCUACUUUCCACAUUUCACUCUCUAAAAUUCUUUGCCACUCUUUUACUGUACUUUUAGAGCGCAAGAGAUUCCCUAUUACCUUUGCAGCAAGAGGCAGGCCUUUGCACUUAUGUGCAAUUUUGCGCCCGAUUGGUUCUAAUUUUUCACGAUCCUCAAAGGACCUACGUAGAAAUGCCAUCUGCUUAAACAGUAACCAACAUUCCCCUUCUCCCAACUCCUUGACAGGGAUAAUAUCUAUUGAUCCCAACUGUAGUGCAACUGACCUAUCACGUGUGGUAAUUAGAAUUUUACUUUCAUGGUGGCCAUUCUUUAGACAAGAAAAGAAUGGGUCCCAUUUUUUGUAAUCUACAUCCCACACAUCAUCUAAAACAAGAAAAAACUUUUUUCCUUCAAUUGAUGUAUGGAUAUGGCUCAUAAGAGAUUGGAAUUCGCUUAAAUCAUAAGCUUCUUUUGACUUGCCUAGACCUUCAAUGAUUGCUUUGGCAACCCUAAUCCUCUCAAAAGUGUCUGAUACACACACCCAUAUAACUUUUUCAAAAUUUCUUUUCACCUCAUCAUUAUUAUAGGCCAGUUGUGCAAGAGUGGUUUUACCUAUACCCCCUAACCCAACUAGUGAGAUGAUAUGAAGGCCUUCUUGUUGUUCACUACUUUGACACAACAACUUGCUUAAGAGCUCAUCUUUCUCAUUAACUCUACCGCAAACCUCUCCCUCAUCAAUCAAGGAGGUGGUUCGCACUCGCUCUGGUUUCUUGACAUUGUUACUCACAUUCUCAACAAAUUUAAACAUAUCUUUUCGAGUGGCAAUACCAUCUAGCUUUUCAUUGAUUUCCCUAAUCUUGACAGCAAUGUCAUGACGAAGACUGAGUUGUUUGAAACUGCCACAGCAGUUUGAUACAGCACAAAAGAAGGAACGUACCUUCUUCUUAUGAACGCCCUCAAUCUGCAAUUUGAGCCUUGCAGUGGUCCACUCCUCCAACACAUCUUCCAUGUCGUAAGAUGCGUCUUUGAGCUGAUCCAGCCAAAAAGUAACAUCUUUCUCGUGCUGCAUUUGCCUUUUCUCUGCAUCUUCCAGCACAAGUUGAAUGGCUUGUAGAUUGCUGGUGAGCUUUUUCACUUCUUCGUCGACACCAGUAACAAGCCUCACCUGUUGUUUCAGUUCAUCAGUUGCAACUGAGCUCAGCUGCUCCAGGAGAGAGGAAACGAUCGCAUCAACCAUUCUGACAAAGAAGAUGAGAAUUCUGAAGAGUUAUUAGAUGUGCUUUUGUUGCGAAGAUAUGAAAGAAAGGAGUUAUUGCAUUCUUUUAUACUGCAUAGAAAAGGUUUAUGCUUAUCCCCACCCCACACGUCAAUGAUUGUAGAAUGUUUAAUUUCCCUGAUUCUACUCCACUAGUUGUGAUGCGUAAUUAUAAAUAUUCUCAAGUUAUGUAUGAAAAUCCCACAAAUUUGGAUCUAGUAAUGAUUUUUAUGUAUUUUUUCAUAAUCUUCUAAAAUACUAUAUCUGCAUGUUAUUUCGUGCAGAAAUAUGGCAUUGGGUGAAAAAAGUUAUGCUUAUCCCCACCCACACGUUAGUAAUUGUAGUAGCAUCUGUAAUUUCCAUGAUUCUACUCCACGGACGAACACAUUUUUUGUACUAACAUCUUUAAAUUCCCACACGUUAGGAAUUUGGCACAUAAUCUCAAACUCGUCGCAUCUUUAACGUAUGAGGUUGAUGAAUAAAUUCUUUUCUCAUAUCAAUUUAAAACUCCGAGAUUAUGUGCCAAAUUCCUAACGUGUGGGAAUUUUACCUCCUAAGUAAUCCGGCCCACUGCCAAGUGCCAACUUUUUCUCUGUCGAGUUAAUGAUGUUGUUUUGUUUUCCUUGUUUUAAUUAAUGUUGCGGAGAGAAACAGAUCGAUGCAAAUGGCUAGCCAGGUUUUGCAGAAACCGUGAAUGGUCUUGCAUGCAUGUGACAUAAAGCUUUAUAUAUAGCUUAUUCCUCCAUCAACAUUUCAAUGGUUCCAUCUCACGUGCACUUGGCUAUGAAUAAGGUCCAUGCAUGGAUCGAUCGAUUUAGGAGUUUGGACCAUCUCAUGCUGCAGAGUUAUGUGUCAUGUAUGUGUGUUGACACUUGCCAGUUCAUUUUUGUUAUAAAGAUUAUUGAUACUCGUAAAUGUACUACUUACAAAUCAUAAAUUUUGAGUUUGACACUUUAGUUUCAUUUUGUAAUCCCUACGCUCUUUAAAUAUUUGUAAUAAUAUAUUUCAAACUUUAACUCAGACGUAAUGAAUGAAGGGGGAUCCUCUUCUUAUAUAAAUUUUUAUUUUUUAACGUUCAAGUUACAUUUGAUUACGUGUACUUAUUAUCUAGUUUUGACUAUCUAAUGACAUUUGAUUACGUGUACUUAUUAUAUGAUUUUUUUUUAAAUGAUGGGUCUGGUGAGAUUUUUUACAUCUUGGAUUAGUAGGUCAAGAACGGGCAGGGCAGGGCCUUCUCUGAAGUCAAUCUUGUGAGCAACACCAGCUUUUUGGAUAAUUGGCAGCCCCAAUUCAUAAUUUUCUCAGUUGAUGUCCAUGGCCAAAAUCUGCAACCGAAGCUUAUUCUACUCUUAUUAAUCGAGAGAUAAUUUUAUCUCUAACUAAUUUAAUUGGGAGGAAAAUUGAGAGAGAUAUCCACUCUGUCCUUAUUAAUUGAGAGAUAAUUUUACCCUUACCCAAUUUAAUUGGAAAGGAAAUCGAAUUCCAACAAUAACUAGGACUUGAAUCCAUGCACUUAAGCUAACUUUAAGUUUUAGGAUGCAUGGUUAUAAUGUUCUUUAUUUAAAUCCUAACAAAUGGUGGGACUUGAACUUGUGCCUACAAACAUUGAGUGCUUAGGGGCUGCAAAAUUUCAUAACUUAAUUUUAGUUGAUGUGGUAUGUGCCCUAUCACAUAAAUAUGUAGAUAAUAAUAAUUAAUACAUUAACAAAAUGAAAAAUAUUAGUUUACAAAAUACAAAUCCAAAUUUUUUGUGUGACAAGGGACUUAAAAGGGAGAGACUAAACAAAUGUGGUGAAAACGACAUGUAUUACUAAAACUAAAAAUACGAAGUCUAGGCAAUUGAAAACAUCGGGUUUUUUAUUUAAAUAUCCCCAAUUUGUCCUUAAAUACCAAAUUUAUACCCUAUUAUAUACAUAUACCUCACGAAGAUAGGGAAAAUAAAAAAUAACCUUAAAAAAAUCAAGAAUCCACACAUUUCUUCCUCUCAGUGCAGGAAGAUGUCGAGUACGAAGUCGGGUAAGUCGAGAAUUUAGUCGAGCAAGAAUUGGAGAUAAGUAAGUUGAGUAUAUGGUCCAGUAGGAAGUUGAGUAAGCAUAUUAAAUGAGUCCAGUAUUAAGUGGUAGAGUAUUAAGUAAAAGUCAAGUAAAUUUUUUAAACAAGUCAAAUAAAAUUUAUGUAAUUUUUAAAGAGGUUGAGUAUUAAGUCGGGUUAGUACAUUGGGUCGAGUGUUAAUAUUUUUAAAGAAGUGAAGUCUGGUAAGUUGAGCAUUCAGUCGAGUAAGAAGUUAAGGCAAUUGAAUAAGUCGAGUCUCUAGUCGAGUACGAAGUCGGGUAUAAAGUCUGGUAAGUUGAGCAUUCAGUCGAGUAAGAAGUGAAGGCAAUUGAAUAAGUCGAGUGUCUAGUCGAGUACGAAGUUGGGUAUGAAAUCUGGUAAGUUGAGCAUUCAGUCGAGUGAGAAGUGAAGGCAAUUGAAUAAGUCAAGUAUCUAGUCGAGUACGAAGUCGGGUAUGAAGUAUGGUAAGUUGAGCAUUCAGUUGAGUAAGAAGUGAAGGCAAUUGAAUAAGUCGAGUACGAAGUCGGGUAUGAAAUAUGGUAAGUUGAGCAUUCAGUCGAGUGAGAAGUUAAGGCAAUUGAAUAAGUCGAGUAUCUAGUUGAGUACGAAGUCGGGUAUGAAGUUUGGUAAGUUAAGCAUUUAAUCGAGUAAGAAGUGAAGGUAAUUGAAUAAGUCGAGUAUCUAGUUGAUUACGAAGUCGGAUCUGAAGUCUAGUAAGUUGAACAUUCAGUUGAGUAAGAAGUGAAAACAAUUGAAUAAGUCGAAUAUCUAGUCGAGUAAAAAAGUCGAGUAAGUAGAUUGAAUGAGUAGGGUAUUAAUUUUUUGUUGGCAUUUUAUUGAGGCUAUUUUUGUACUUUCUUUGGUUUUUUAAGUAUGUAUAUGCAAAGUACAGAUUUUAAUAGAUGGAUGUAUAUUUUGGGUAUUACGAGAGAAACGGGGUAUAUCCCACGCAAUUCCUUCGAAAACAUCUCUGUCAAUUGCAAUGAACAGAUCACAACCCUUCAUAAUUAAACAAAAUCAAACUUGAAAAAAAAAAUCACACACACACACACAAAACAAUCACAAAAACUAUUUGUUCUGAUCAUCCCUGCUUUUUUUUAGCGUAGCUCUUGGAAUGAAAAUUAACAAAAAGUGUCAAAAGAGAAGCAUUAAACACAGCAUUGAAGCACCAGCCCAAAAUCCCAGAGCAACCAAAUCCCGUAAAAUGAUAAUACAGCAUCAAAACCGAAACAACAAAACUAAACACAAACUGAACAAUCUAACAAUCAGUGACCAAUCUCUUCCACUUUGGCCGCAACCCCAUCACACACAAUAGAUAGUACCCGUACAUGAUCACAUGCACACUUGCAUUAGUCACAAGUGCAAUAGGAAACAAAGACUGCUUCGUCUGUAACCAAAGGUAGCACAUUACGACGACGGUUGCAUGGUGGUAGACGUGGAGGAACGUGAGCCAUUGGAUGGAUUUUGACAAAAUGAUCAAAAGGGUGUCUAAGAAUUCGAGUAUUUUGGAGAGGUAGAAGAGGUAAGCGUAGAAGAAGAGGGGCCAGACGGAGAAAUGGUGGGGGGGAAACAGAGGGUGUAAUGGAGGUGGGGCAAAUGGACGAUGAUGGAGAGAGUGCAGCCAACGGCCAUGAUGAGGGAGAGGAGGAGGAGGGUGAGGUUAUGGACGGCUGUGAUGGGCUUGAGGAUGUGGGGUCCAAUGAGAGGUGAUGAUGAUGGUGAUGUUGAUGUUGAUAUGUGGUAGAGGAUGAAUGUGAGGGAGAGGUAAGUGAGGAUGGAGAGAAUGAGGAAGUGUGGGGAAGAAGCUAGUGUUUGGUUCUGAGUCCAUGUGAAGCUGAGGAUUUGGGGGUGGUUUACAAGACAAUAUUGGAGUGUUGAGGUGAUUGAAUUUGAAGCCAUGGCUAGUUUUGGGGGAAGAAAGAUUUUGGAAGAGAUGAUGUUGAGAUGAACGGGGAGUUUAUAAAGUUUUGGGAUAAUGUGGAGGGUAUUUUGGACAUAUUGUUGUCUCAGCUUAAAUUUUGGGAAAAAGAUGAUCAAUAAGAAGCUCUUUUUUUCAUAUCAAUUUAAAACUCCGACGGUGUUUCCAAAAAUUGUUUUUCUUUUUCCGUUUUUAAUUUUAAAUCAUAAAUUUAGUAAAAGAAGUUGAAUCAAGUGAUCACUUUUUUUUUAAUGUAAAACAAUUAAUUUCUUUGUGAUUUAAGCAAAUAUUGAGUUGCAUACUUUAAAUAUAUUAAUAUUUGAUUCGAAAUUUCAUCUACCGAAACUACAAAAAUUAAUAUUUUCUAUUAAAUCAAAACCAAAAUUAAAGAUGACUCCUUGUCUGCCAACUGUCAUUAAACAAAGCCAUCACUCACGUGAAAAAAAAAAGUGAUAUAUUCAUUUUAACGUAAUUUCAUACCAACAUAUCAUUCUUUUUUUUCCAAUAAUGACCUCUUUAAUUAUAAAUAUGGUAAAAGGGGAUGGGUUCGAGGUAUGGCGUCCGGGCCUUUGUGACAACGGUAUCUUUGGACGUGGGUGUCGUUAGAUUUUUGGCUAUUUUCUGGUCAAUCAAACUGGUGGAUCACAUGCAUUUUAAUGACCUCUUUAAUUAUAAAAAUAUGGUAAAAGGGGAUGGGUUUAAGGAAUGGCGUCCAGGCCUUUGUGACAAAGUUGGAUGUGGGUGUCAUUUAGACUUUUGGCUAUUCUGCUCAAUCAAACUCGUGGAUUACAUGCACUCAACGCGGACAUUAUGGAAAUGGGAGAAAAUUAUGUUAGUAAUAGCAUCUUCAAAAGUUUCUAUACAUUUUACUCUUUAAAUAUUUAUUUACUUAUUUAUAUGAUAAAUAGAAAGGUAAAAAAAUAUAUUAUUCUCCAAAAAAACUCUUUCAAAUAAAAAUUAAGUUAAUAUUAUUUUAAUCAAAUAAUUAUUUUUUAAAGGAAAAGUUAACAGCAAUUAAAGCACUUCUCUUUCUCUCUCUAAUAAAAAGUAAUAAAAUAUUAAUUGAAGUGUUUUUUAGAACCUUAAAUGUUGAUGUGACUCUUCAAAUAAGUAAUAAAAUCUUAAUUGAAGAGCCUUUUGGUGAUGGUUUAAAACCCACUGUUUUCGUUCUAAACUAAGUGAAUUUAUCUCGUGAGCUAAGUAGUUUAGGAGAUAACUCAAAUAAUUAACUUUUAUUAGUUUAAUAAUAAGAAUUUUCGAUUAUAUUUUAAAAGGUAUAAUUCAUUACAAAAAAUUACUUAAUAAAAAUAACUUUAUUUAACAUAUUACAUUUUUUCAAUAAUAAAAUAAUUCAAAUUUUUAAUUAUUAUAACAAAAAAAAUUUGUAAUAUAAUCCAUUCAUAUACCACAUCACGUAAAAUUAACCUAGUACUACAUGUAAUCUUGUUACUACUAUUCCUAUAAUAUUCUACACAUCAUAUACUAUCAAAUUCCAUCCGGCAUGCCAAAUGUGCAAAGUUUGAGUAAGACUUGUUAAAGUUGAGAGUAACAUCUUAUAUGGCCAAGCGCAUUGAGUAUGGAUUUGCAUGAUCGAGUGAGUACAACUAAAGUCGGGUAGAGUCUGGAAAAUCCCUAUAAUGUUGAGGUUGGAGAACUAUACUUUUUAAGGUACAUAAUUAAACAAUUUUGGUAAAUAUUUACUAUUAUAACUUAAAAUUAAUUUGAUUUGAUCUCAUAUAUUAUUAUAAUAAAAAAACUUAUAAUAUCUUUAUUAAUUUUAUUAAAAAUUAUUAUUUAGAAGUCAUAUAUUUAUUACACAUUGUCAAAUUUUCAGCUUUUUGUUUUUUAACAACAGCUAGUAAUAUCAACAAGACCUAAGUUGAGUAUGAUCAAUUAAUUAAAAUUAUGAUUUUUUUUUGUAUAAAAUAAUCAUUAGAUAAUUAGUCUGUAAAGAAUAUCGGCUACUUCAAAUGGAAACUUGCGAUAAAAAAUGCAUCACAAAAGUAACAAUGACACACUAUAUAAGAAAUCUGAAAUAGAAUUUGCAAAAUUGAACUGAGUUACGGAGAGUAAAUAAGACUCAAAGGAAACAUGGGCAAUUAUUAUUAUCUAGGAAACAAUUCAUAGCUAAAACAAAAUUAACUAUACUUGCCAGGAAAUAUGGCGAAUUCCACCACCUCCUACAAGUUCUUAGGUGUCUUAGAGUUUGAUGACGACUUCCAUGCUGUCUCUUCGACAGGCAGCAAAAUUGGGCAAUUGACUACAUUAACUCCAAGAAAUUUAUGCAGUCACCUUCCUCCGGACUAUCCUCUUUCUUUGAGCUUUGGUUGCCCCUAUUUCCCCUUCAAUAGAGUCAUCACUGUUUUGUUUGAAGCCAAGGAGCCCAAGAUCAGAAAAAUGGCAUUCUUUGGUAUCAAUCCCUCGAUCCCAAAGUCACGUCACUAACUUUCUGUUGAUCGCGUAGCUAGUUCAUGUAUGCCACAGCAGCGGAAGGUAGCCUGAAGAGAAAAAACCUCUCUCUCUUUCUUGCUCAGUAACCACCUGGGCACUUUUGUGCUGAGCCAUGACAUCCUGAGAUGGCCUGUUGUGUAAGCCUUCUUCAAAAGGUCAUCUGUCGAUCUUUCUCCUAAUUAGACAUCCAAAACCCAGCAUGGAAUCCAUUUGAGAAGGUGGACAAUAGACAAACUCCAACGCAUACAGACAGUAAAGAAGAAUUUAGACGCAAUCACUGUGGCUGAAUAAAUGGGCCUAUUAAGCCUAUUAAAAGUUGGAACCAUAUUCACCACUCGCAGUUCCUUAGAGAACUUUAUCAGAAUUCUGAAAAUUUAAAACUAUUCUUACAUAUUUAACUGUAAAACAAGAGAAAUUGUACUUCCGUAGCAAAGUCUCACUAUUGGUAAGUAUCUGGACUUGGAAAGGAUGCUAGUUGAUUAAGUAAAGGAAAAUUGAAAUCAGACUUUGAGGUGAUAGAUCUAUAUACACUUUAAUCGGAACCACAUUAACAUCAUAUGAGCCAAACAAACAAAUUCCCCAGUCAAAGUUCAACAAACAAAACAUUAAAACAAGAGUAAUUUGGUGUAUCAAUGUAUAUAUAGAGAUGUCGAUCAUUGACAAAUACGUAAAAGAGGGAGGGAGAGACCUCAAAGCCGUGCUUAACAACAUUGCUACUCCAAUAACUUCAAAAUGGUUGGCGACGUCUCUAUCAAAGCCACACAAUAGCUGAUAUCUCAUGUUUGCAUGUAGUCCAAUGAAAGCACCAUAACCAAGAACAUUAGUACUCACAGAUGGGUUUGUCACAGAUAACCUGUCAGGCAAUAAAAAUUGCCCAAAUUAAACAAAUGUUAGACCGGCUUAGACAGUAAACGGAACAAUUUCUAAUUUUACUUAUUUUAUAACGAAUAAGUGAACAAAGGAAUGAAAAGGAAGUUUGGCAACAGUCUUUUUACCAGCCAGAUAGUUUGACAAAGAAUCUUGCACUGCUCCUGCAGCUAAUCCACCAUACACAACUCUGCAGUCUUGUUUGGGAGUCAAAAUUCUCAAAAUGGGUAACUCUGUUCAAAUAUACUGUUUGGGAACUUUUGUAAUGUAUUUUGCAAGUCAAACAGGAAGGUAUUUCCAUAAGAAGGUUCACUUCACAUGCUCAACAAUUCAAAUUUGCGGAUGAUAUUUCUCAAAAUGGAGGGCUCUAUUUGGCUUGCCAACAAUCUUCCUCACCAUUAUCAUCCUUGCUAUACCGGUUAAACUGAACAGUCUUCAUUCUGACAUUUGCCCUAUUAACCUGAGUACACAAGAAUCCGAAACAACUGUUAGAAAUUAUAAUCUUUAUAUAUAGCCAAAAUGUUGAAUAAGAUGAUGUACUUGAUAAUAAAAUACCUGAGUUAAUAAAUAAUUAAGGGCCGGUAACAAUGUCAGCAUCUUAUCAAGUGGGAAAGCCUACGCAACGAAGAUGCUGCCUGCUUUCAAGAAAUAAUAACUUUCCAAUUCCAUAAGGUAGGUUAAUGCCCUUUUAAAAAUAUCUCCACCAGCCUAACAAUUAUUCAUUGAAAUGUGUGAGUGUGAAUUCGAACGAAUUAAUCAAAUAUGAUGACACGAGAAAGAAAAUUAAAAUAACCACAAGAAGUAGAAAUAUACUUUUGUUAUAUUUAGUGCAUCUUCUGUGUGUGCUCAAACGCAAUGCCUCAAGGCGCAAGAUAAUUUUAUGACCAUCAAUCUUUUGCAGCCAUAUGCAGACUUGAAACAUUGGCGGUGGUUCUAAGGAACUUGAAAAUUAGAAAAGUUUCAAAAUGAGUGACUAAAUAUGAUAAUCGAAAUUAAUUAAAUAUACACGCCUUGUAAAUAUGAAACUAAAUUACUCAAAUGUAUGUGCCUCUUCGCGCAGCAAUUGCUCGUGGUGGAAACUUUACUGCAAAGACUUCCUCAAACCCUUGAAGAUCACACUCUUCCUGGCAACAAAGAAACAGAGUCGAUAUACGAAGAUGAUUUUACUAACAAGUGAGAGCUUGCAAAUAUUGGAAGGAUAACGAUUGCUCAUAACCCAAAUCCCCAAUACCCUCUAAUAUCUCACUCGAGUGAGUUCAAGCCCCCAAAAUUCACUACAGUGAAACUCUCGAAACAAAAUUCUCUUCAAAUAUUCUCAACUCAAAUUUGAUAAUGAUAUCUCUUGAAGGAAGGCAAAAAAUCUAACACUGAUCAAAUUGGCUUGUGAACAAUUAAUGUUCCUGGCCAUCAUUCAUACUAGGUGUGGCGAACAAUUAAGCUGCUUAGUAUCCUGAACCUGAUAACUUACACAAACACAAAACAACUUGCCUAAAGUUUAAUAUUUAGAGGCAGAACGGUAAAGAAGAAGAUAUAUAUUGAUACUAAAAUUUGACUUGCGUUACCCUGAUGUCAAGAAUAGCGGGAUCUCAUGUGGGCAAAAUCUUCGCAAUACGAGAUGCUUGCAAAAUUGAAGCAGCAUCUUAUCACCUGUAAUUUAAUUAAGAUAAUAACUUUCCCCGACUAUUUCAAUGCAUUAUUGGCAACUAAAUUCAGAGGGCGCUAAUUAAAUACCCUUUUAACAAUAUCUUCUUAUCUUCUUAAUCUAGCAGUUAUUUGGAAAAUCUAAAUGACACUUUUAUGUAUUCUGUGAGAUGCUCAUUCAACCAUGUUUGCAUUCUUCUUAUACUAAUAGGAGAUUUAAUUUUUACCCUCAAGUCAAUGUCAAUGUGAACGUUCUUUUGUGCUGCAAAUUGAAGGAGUCCCCACAGGAGUCACCGUCGUGGUUACUUGCUGCUCUUAAGAUAAUUAGUAACAAAAUAUUUGUAAACUGCAACAAAAAGCUCAGUGCAAUCUAUCUAUGAAUCUUGUGAGUUCACAUAUAAUACAGUCGAUUUAGAAUAGUCAUAAAUUUUUUUAUUAUAAAUAUUAGUAUAUUUUUAAUGGUAUAAUAUAUAUCGAUGAAACUAUAUAGAGUAAUUUCGCCUAAUUGUAUAAAUUCAUUACGAAUAUCAUCACAAAUUUGUAUUUGGUCGGGACCGUGCGAGUGAAAUUUUUGAUAAAAUCGUCUCCUGACAAUUUAUUUAUUAUAUUCCAUUCCUUUUAUUAUCAGGUAGGCCAAAGCCAUUUGGACAUUUGAAAAAAGUAUGUGAUUCUGUUUUAGUCUAUUAUGUCACGACAAAAAGAGAAUUGGAAAAUGUAACAUUCUCAAAUUAAUUUGUAGUGGAAAAGAGAAAAAUAAGACAAAAGUUGGAAAAAUCAUGCAGCCGACCCUUUUUUUUUAUCUGAUUGCGCAAUAUUAGGUAGGCGAAUGCGACUUCAUCGAUAUCACACAGCAGUGGUUCUGUCAUUAAUUUUUUCUUUUAUUUAAUUAAGAAAAGGAAGAAAAGAUAGCACAUGUUAUGAUUAUUGUGAAUUUUCCAUCCCUUAUAUAAAUUCUCAAAUUUAUUUAAAUUGUGAGUCAUAGAAGUAUAUUACCUAAACUAUUUUAUCAGGCCAUGUUCGGAUACUAGGAUUAAGUAUGGAAUUGGACUAAUUUUGUGAUUAUAUUUUAUAUCAAAUUUGGUAAGCUUAAUUGAAUUGGACUAAGGGACUAAAUUUAAGUUUAAUCCUAAAAUUAUGGGAUUAAUAAUCCUAAUUUACACAUUCCUUUAGUUGGGACUUGGGAUAAGAUUAAAGAAAAAAGUUAUCCAUUUAUGAGACUUUAAUUUAUGUCAUUAUUUUUUUAUUUAUACUUUAAUAUUAAUUAAUUUAUUAAUUUAUUUUUAAUUUAUGAUUUUACUUAAAAUUUAUUUUUAUUUAUUAUCUAUUAUCUGGUUAAAUUAGAACUUUACUUCUACUAACUCUUGCGAUUAAUUUUUCAUUACUUGCGUAUUUGAUAAUUUGCCAAUAAAAUUAACCAUUUAAUAAUUUCUUGCAUUAUUUGAUUGUAUUAAAUUUAAUAAUCACUAAUAUAAUAUUAAAAAUAAUCAUGAAAAUUAAUAAUACCUUCAAUUAAUUGAUUUUUAUAUACUUUUUUAAAUAUUUGAUAAGAAGUUGAUAAAAAUUAAUUAAGGAUUUAAAAUUUUAUUCAUUUUUUAUUUAUUUAUUUUAUCAUGAAUACCCAGUAUCUUACAAUAUAAUUAAUUUUCUUAUUCAGACUACUCAGCAUCAGCUCCUGUAAAAUUUCUUACAUUAUAAGCAACAAAAUAUUUAUAAACUACAACAAAAGGCUUAGAUCAAUCCACCGAUGAACCUUUUGAAGUUAUAUAUAAUAUAUUAAUUGUUGAUCUAGAAUAGUCUUAGUGGAUAGAUUUUUUUUAAUUAUAAAUAUUAAUAAAUUUUUUAUCGUUUAAUAGAUAUUGAUGAAAUUAUAUGGAGUAAUUUCGCCUAAUCAUAUUAAUUCAUUAUGAAUUUCAGCACAAAUUUGUAUGUGAUCGAUCUGGACCGUGUAAGUGAAAUUUAUUUACUAUAUUUUUCAACUUGGCCGACAACAUCUUUUUGUCAGGUAGGCAAAAGCAAAAGCCAUUAUCUCAUUAAUUGAUUUGGUCAUUUGAGAAUGUAACUCUAUUAUGCCGUGACAAACUCCAAGAUCUAAUUUAGAGAGCGACCCAAAUAAUGGUAAUUAGUAAUUUAUUACAUCUGCAGUUAGAUAGAUACUUUGUCUGGGAAAAAAAUAAAAUCAGUUUUAUAAUGAUUUUAAUUAAUUCAUUUGGUCAUUUGAAAAAGUUGUGGCUCUGUUUUAGUCCAGUGUCAAUAUAUAACUUUAUUAUGUCAUGACAAACUUCAAAAUUUAAUUUAGAGUGUGACUCGAAUAAUUUUAAUUAGUAAUUUAUUAUAUCUACAGUCGGAUACUUUGUUGAGAAAAAAAAAAAUAAAAUCUGUCCCAUAAUGAUUUUAAUAAAUAUCAUACUAUUGUCUACGGACUUACCUCAUAUUACAAAGAAUUAAAAUAUGCGAAAGAUAACUAAGGAAUAAAAUUUUUCCACAAUGAUUUAUAAAAAUUGCUUUUGAAGAACGGUUAUGAUAUUAUAUUAAAUUACUAAGAAUUUAGUUAACCUCUCAAGAAGUCUAUUUGGUUGACUUCUCGAGUUUAAAAUUCGAAUGUCAAAAAAGAUAAAAGGUUAAAAAAAAUAUUUUAAAUAUUAUCCACCCUUUUACUAUUUUAAUAUACAAAAAGAAGAAUUACUUGUUUUUAACAAUAGCAACCGGGGGCAUAAUAUAUCUGAUGGAUUUUUUUAAGGAACAAAACUUAUUAUAUCUCCUAUCAAAAAUGUCAUUUUUGUUAGUAAAAGGAUAUCUAUAUCUCCAAAUUUUGGAAAAAUGGUUACCAGCGCUUCCAAGUCCUAAAUUUUCAAAAAGAGACACUAAAACUCAUUUUUUACUACAAUACCCUUUACUUUUAUUAUCCCAAAAGUUAACUUUAAUUUUUUUUUAUAAUAAAUAGAAAUAUAAUAUUAAAAUAAAUGUAUUAAAAUUUAAAUUAUUAUGAAAAAUAAUAAUUUUAAUAUUAUUAGUAUAUGAGACUUUUUUAAUUGUAAAAUGUAUUUAAUGCAAAUAUUUAUUUAAAAUCUCUAGAAUAAAUACAAAUAUAUUAUUAAAAUAAAUAUAAUAAUUUACAUAUUUAAAUUUAUUUUAAUAUUAUUAAUCUACUACAUAGAUUACAUUAUUUAUAUAAUAUUUGUGUUUACUAAAAAUUUGCAAGUUAAAUUUUUUCGGGAUACUAAAGGUAAAGAGUAUUAUGGUCAAAAGAGAGUCUUGAUGUCAUUUUUAGAAAACUUGGGGUGUUGGUGACUAUUUCUCCAAACCAUGGGGAUAUAGAUAUCCUUUUCUCUUUUUUAUUUUAAACAAGUGGUGACUAAAGAUUAAACUGUCAUAUAUUCACAAGAUAUUCACCACAAAAUUUGUAGGAAAUUUCUUCUUCCCUAAGCGGAAAAUACAAAACAAAAACAUAAUUGGCAAUUUCACUAGCAAAACUAAUAAUACUUUUGUUCCAUAUCCAGGGGUAGAGCUCGGGGUAAAUCUUCAUGACGCCCAAAUUCAAAUUUCAAGUGUUAGCUGGGAAUUAAUUUUAGACAAUUUUAUUUAUUUAUUUAUAGCUAGUAUGUAAUUGUUAGGUAUUUCAAAAUUUGAGAAUUUUGUGAUUCUGUGAGAAUGUUGAUUCAAGCAUGUUUGCAUUCUUCUUAUAAGUACCAUAGGAGAUAUUUAGUUUUUUACCCUCAAGUCAAUGUCAAUGUGAACGUUGUUUUGUGCUGCAAAUUAAAGGAGUCCCCACAGGAGUCACCGAUUUGCUUUGAGAAUUUUGAGAAUUAUGUUUUGCGAGUGAAAUUGCCAUUUUGUCAUAAUGGAAUUUUGCUUUCUGAUCAAUAAUUGAGAAUUUUGCUUGUAGCUACAGGCUGCAGCGAUUUUGAUUUGACGGCUUUGAUUCAUAAUUGAAGUUACUGUUGCAAGUAAAAACUAAAAAAAUUAACAAAAUAAAAAUCAAAGACUUAGGUCCAUGUUGCAAGUAAAAACUAAAAAAAUUAACAAAAUAAAAAUCAAAGACUUAGGUCCAUGUUUUAUCAAAAUUUUAAUAAAAGGCUAUUUGUCAUUUUGUCAUAAUGGAAAAAUGAUUAACAAAAUAAAAAAAUCGAAUUUACUUGAUUUUAUUUUACAAAAUAUAAAUUAAAUUUCUAUUAUAUGUAUAAAGUUUAUACAUCAAGUGCUUAGGGGUCAAAUCAAUCUUUUUAUACCUAAUUUUUAAUAUUUUACUUCGAAACCUCAAAAAUUUUUAAAGUUUGUUGGGUCACAAUCCCCGCUAGGAGUGGGCAAAUUUGUGUUCAUAUCAACUUGAAUAGGUUUUGGGUUGAUUAGGCUAGAACUGGAUCAGAUCAAAAAGUAUGAGAGAAAUUAAUUGAGCUUCUCCCAAGAAAAAUACAUACAGAUGAUUGAUAUAUAACCAUUAAAUAAUAAAUAUGUUAGACUUACAUUUAUUUUUUAGCCCUAAAAGUAUGAAAAAAUUAAUACUUUCCGAAUUUAUUUUUUGUACCGUAAAGAAUCAAAUUACUCACAAAAUUAUUUUUAACUUUCAUCAUGCAAACAAACAAAUCAUCAUCAAUUUCAAUAGAAAGAAGUAGAAUAUGAUGUAUUUAGGACUUCCUACUCUAUUAGCUAGGUUAAUAACAUGUUAAUUGUCACAUCAUUAAUUUUAGAUUAUAAAUUUUAUAUUCAAACUUUGUAUGACUGCUCCUUUUUCAAUGAUCUAAUGUUAGAGUGCAAUUUAUGCACUAGUUUUGCAUUGUUUACUUCCUUUAAUAUUGAUAUUUUACACUUAAUAAUAGUGAUUUACUUGUAUUUUAUUUUUGUAGGUGCAAUUCUAUUGAUUGGUGCUAAAAUUGAGAUACAAGAUGAUGUUUAAGGAUGGUUGUUCUCUUGGAUAAAUUAUGAGUGUCAGAAGAACUUUGUUGAUAAGGCGUGGGCGCGUGCUGUCAACUACGGACCUGCAGUUUUUAGUUUAAUGUGUUUUGUAUUUUUGGUUAUUUUUGUAAUUAUGAAUUUAAUGUUUCAGAUAUUAGUAUUUUAUUUUAAAUAGAACUCUAGAGGAGAAGAGAGGGAGAGUAUUUAAGGGAGGAAUCUAUUGUGAAAAAUGUGAGAGAUUGGAGAAAAAGAAAGAAACCCUAGAUCUAAACUUUUCUCUUCUCUCUAUGAAGAACUAAACCUAUUUUUCUAGUUGAAGGUUAAUGAAGCUUUGAUUCAUCACUACUGUGAGAUCUUUCUUAUGCUUUAAUUGUUUUAUUGCUUUUUGGGUAUUUGUUUAUUUUUUGAAUUAUUUUCAUGAUUAUGUUUGUUAAUUAGGUAAUUGGACACUAUUUAAUUAUCAACUUAAUCUAUUGUCAAUUCAAUGAUUCAUCGUAUGAAGAUUUUAAUGUUUGUGACAAAUAACAUAGCAGUGAGUUGUAUUAUGAGAAUAAACAAUCUAAUUUAAAUGAACCAUCGUAUGUGUUUGUUGAUUAGGAUUUGGGUCUCUCUGGUUUUUCAGGCUGUCAAUUGAUAUAAUCUUAUGAUUGUAUUUAGGGUUGUCUAUUGAUUAGGGAAAUAACCAACGGUCGUACCUUGGUUAUCGACUAGUUAAGGAGAGAUUGGCUAUUAGAGGGUCUCAGUAGCUAUAACCGGUGUAUUCAUAAGUAGUAAUAAUUUAUAUUUGAAUCAAUGAUUAGUAGUCGAAUCAAGCUCAGUUAAUUCCUUCAACCAAAGCUUUCUCCAAUUUGAAUUACAACUUUAAUUUGCAUUCUAGUUAUUUUAAUUUGAUUUCUAUUAUUGUCAACAACUCCCCCAUUUUACGUUUUACAUUUUAAAAGGAUUUAAAUAAUUACCGAUCUCUGUGAACACGACCCUGCUCAAUCAUUAUACAUAAUUUAUUUAGAGUAUGUAUUUAUUUUUGCUGUCUUCGACAAUCAUCAAAUUUUGGCGCCGUUGCCGGGGAUUGGUGUCGUUUAUUUAAUCCUUUUUACAUUUUACUUGGUGUAUGGUUCAUUCUUCUCGUACAGGUACACUUUCGUUUGAUCCUGAAAUUGAGAAGACAGCUCGCCAGCUGAGACAGCAGACGAAGCAAGCUAAGCAACGAUUCUCGUCGCCUUUGCUUUUUGAAACAGAUACAGUGUCUGAUUUGAUUGAAUCAUCUAGCGAUUCAGAAGAACAAGUGAUGGAUAGAGCUGCACCUGUAGAAAGAACUCUUAAAGAGUUAGCUGAACCAGACUUGAAUCAGCAACCACUCUGCAUUCAAUAUGUAGACUUGGAGGUAAAUUUUGAAUUAAAGUCUGGUCUUAUUAAUUUAUUACCCAAGUUUCAUGGUUUUGCAGGUGAAGAUCAUCAUAAACAUCUCAAGGAGUUUCAUGUUGUGUGCUCAAGUAUGAGGCCACAAGGCGUGACUGAAGAGCAGAUUAAGCUGUGUGCUUUUCCGUUCUCUGCAGAUGGGCUAGCUAAAGACUCGUUGUACUACUUGCCUCCUGGAUUGAGUACAACGUGGAAUGGUUUGAAGAAGCAGUUCCUUGAGAAGUACUUUCCUGCUUCAAGAGCUGCCAACAUCAGAAAAGAUAUUUGUGGGAUCAGACAACUUCCUGGGGAGAUUUUGUAUGAGUAUUGGGAGUGAUUCAAACAAUUGUGUGCCAGCUGUCCUCAGCAUCAGAUUUCUGAUCAACUUCUUAUUCAAUAUUUUUACGAAGGACUGUCAUUGAUGGAUAGGAGUAUGAUAGAUGCUGCUAGUGGAGGCGUGUUGGUGAACAAGACCCCUACUCAAGUAAGGGAGUUGAUCUCAAAUAUGGCUGCCAAUGCACAACAAUUUAGCAGCAGGCAAGAUCCCACUUCAAAGAAGGUGAAUGAGGUAAAUAUUUCUUCUGUUGAACAACGUUCAGAUAAACUUACUUCUCUUGUGGAAAAGUUUGUUUUAGGUAAUGUACAAUAGGUGAAGACUUGUGGCAUCUGUUACAAUAUGGGUCAUUCAACUGAUAUAUGUCCUACGCUUCAAGAAGAACCCGUUGAACAAGCCAAUGUAGUUGGAGGAUUUCCAGGCAAGCCUCAGAAGAGGUAUGAUCCUUAUGCACAAACAUACAAUUCAGGGUGGAAGGAUCAUCCCAACUUCAACUAUGGAGUUAGGCCGUCAGGAUUCCCACAACAGUAUCCACCAAGACAACCAGCACCUCCACAGUCAAACUCCAAGUCAGGUAUAUCUCUUGAAGAAAUUGUUAAAUCACUUGCAACUAACACUCAACAAUUUCAGCAGGCAACUACAGCAAGCAUUCAGAAUUUGGAGAACCAAAUGAGUCAAUUGGCCACUACAAUGAGCCGUCUGGAGUUUCAAGUAUUAGGGAGAUUGCCUUCACAAUCUGAGGUAAAUUUAAAGCAAAACGUUAGUACUGUCAUCCUUAGAAGUGGGAAGGAGUUACAAGAGCCUAGUAAGAAAGUGACAAAGCAUGUAGAAGAUGAGCUUGAGAAGAAUGAAUUGAUGCCUAAAUCUCAAGAUGCGCAACCCACCAAAGCGAAACCCCUACCUAUUGUGAUACCUCCUCAUUUUCUAAGCCGGUUUGUAAAAUCCAAGAAGGAGGAACAAGAGAAAGACAUCCUUGAGACAUUUCGCAAGGUUGAGGUAAAUAUUCCUUUAUUAGAUGCUAUAAAACAAAUACCUCGAUAUGCUAAAGUUCUUAAGGAACUGUGCACCUCCAAGAGAAAAUUAAGAGGAGAUGAAAAAGUUCACAUGGGGGAGAAUGUUUCAGCAGUUCUCCAAAAGAAAGUACCUCCUAAGUGCAUGGAUCCAGGUAUGUUUACUAUCCCUUGUAAAAUUGGUAGUGUUAGAGUUGAAAAUGCUAUGUUAGAUCUAGGAGCUUCUAUUAAUGUCAUGCCUCGUUCCAUUUAUUCAUCUUUGAAUGUUGGUCCAUUGAAAAAAACUGGCAUGAUAAUUCAACUAGCUGAUAGGUCUAAUGCAUAUCCUGAUGGGGUAUUAGAAGAUGUCUUAGUACAAGUUCAUGAGUUGGUUUUUCCUGUUGAUUUUUAUGUACUUGAUAUGGAAGAGGAUAACUCCUCUAAUUCUUUCCCAAUUUUGCUAGGAAGACCUUUUCUUAACACUACUAGGACUAAAAUGGAUGUACAUAAAGAGACUCUCACUAUGGAGUUUGAUGGAGAGGUUAUAGAAUUCAAUAUGAAUGAUGCCAUGAAAUAUCCUAAUGAGAAACAUUCGGCAUUUUCUGUGGAUGUUAUUAACCCUAUAAUGCAGGAAGUUUUUUACAAGGAAAAGACGAAGAAAUUUCAUGAUAGAAUGAUUUUGAGAAAGGAGCUCUCUGUUGGUCAAAAAGUUCUUUUUUAUUCUAAGCUUAAACUUUUUCCGGGUAAAUUACGUUCUUGCUGGGUUGGACCUUUUAUUAUUACUAAUGUUUUUCUUCAUAGUGCAGUUGAGAUUCGGAGUCCGACCUCUGACAAAGUUUUUAAGGUUAAUGGUCAUCGGUUAAAACCUUUUUAUAAAGGUUUUUCGGUGAAUAUUGUGGAGGAUAUGGCUCUCAAGAGUCCCAAUUAUGGAGAUUGAUGCAUAAAUGUGUCUAACCAAAGACAUAAAACAAAGGCGCUUUUUGGGAGGCAACCCAAAUGAUUUAUUUAUUUUGGUUUUUGUUAUAUCUUCUUUUCAUUUUGAUUCAGAUUUUUUAAAAAAAAUAACGUGUUUGCUUAUUUUGGCCAGAAGAAAAUGUUUGAUAAGGCGUGCCCACAUCUUAACUAAUAAGUACUUCUGUGAUUUUUAACGUAAAAUGGUUUUAAGGCGUGCGCACGUGCUUAUUAAAAAAGUACUUCUGAAAUUUUUAGUGUCUCAAGUGAUACAUCACUAAAAAAAAAAUUAUUUUAUUUAUUUAUUUAUUUGAAAAUUAAAAAAAUAAAAAAAGUUUUUUUUUCUUUUCUUUCUUUUAUAUUUUUAUUUAUUUGAAAAAAAUUUAAAAAAUGAAAAAAUAAAAAAAAGUUUUUUCUUUUUUUCUUUUAUAUAUUUUAUUUAUUUAUUUAUUUGAAAAAAAAUUUAAAAAAUAAAAAAAUUUUACUGUUCACAAAAUCCCUAAUUCACAGAAUUAGUGUUCUUCUCCAGCCGCUCCAGCCUUCACCGAGCAGCCACGCAGCACCAGCUCCAUCCCCAGCGCGCAGCAUCAUCCCCAGCCAGCGCGCAAGCAACCAGCCCCAACCCGCGCAGCACAACCAUCUGCGAAUAACCUGAACCAACAGCCGUGUACCUGCAAGCUCCAGCCGAGCAGCAACCAUCCGCAGCCGGCCUACGCCCUGCAUUCUAGCCGCGUGAAUCAAAAUCCGUGAGUUCAAUUAUUGUAACAAUGCCGAAGAGGAAAGCAUCAACUUCCAAGUCAUCUAAAAAGACACUCGUCGCAAAGAAAUCCAAGAUUUCCGCUCCCACUACGGUUCCAUGGAACACAGUUUUAGAUUCACGCCAAGCCGUGAGAUAAAGAUCGAAACAUGGAAAAGGCAUGAGUGUUUUGCCACUUGCGGAAUCCAAUCUCAGAGGGUGCCUCACAUUCACGACUCAACAAGAGAAAGAAAUGUACAAAGAUAUUUCCAAGCGAAAAAUACUUCCAGCUAAGUAUAUUCAUUACCCGACUCUUGAAAAAUUGAAUGUCAAGAAUAGUUUUGAUUCUUUGAUAGAUAAGAUUGGUUUGCGUAAGUUUGUUGAUGUUGAUUGUUUGGGUUAUGUUGAGUUGAUUAGGGAGUUCUAUGCUACUUUUCAAUUUAAUAUACUGAAUGAUUUUACUUUGCAUACCUCAGAUGUUAUAAAGUUUAGGUUAAUGGGACGAAAUUUUUCACACUCUAUCACGGAUUUUAACCUAGUUUUAGGAUUCAUUGAUGAUGAUUAUUCUUCUAGUGAUGUAUAUUUAGGGACAACUUGUGACUUUAGCGAAAAUUUUGAGCCUUAUGGUCUUUGGCGUAAUUUAUCUGUUGAUCACAAUGCCUAUGACCCAAGUAAAUCAAAGAGUUCUUUCUUACGUGAUCCUGUUUUGAAAUGUAUGCAUCGGUUCUUAGCAUAUAAUUUUUUAGGAAAGAAAGAUCACUCAAGAGUUUUCUCUAAAACUGAGUUUUGUUUUAUCUGGUGCAUAUUAAAUGAUGUGAGGCCUAACUUAGGUUUUUGGUUAGCAGAUCAAUUUCAAAGUGUGCUUAAACGGUAUAGGACUUUAUUUCUUGGUUCAUACAUUACUCUGUUAGUUAUAAACUUAUGUGUGCUUGAUCAUGACAACAAUGAUUUAUAUCCUGCUUGCAAAAAGAAAUUUUUGGAUAUGUCUGUGUUUGAAAGAACAGGUGUGGUCGAAUUCAAGGAGGGGAAAUUUCAGUUUACUGAACCAGGACCCACCCAACUUCCAAAGAAGUUUUAUACUAGGAGUGGUGCUACCUCUGAUGACGAGUUUGACGACGAAACUGCGGCCCCACCAACUAUUCCUUUUACAUCCGCACAACCUUUGAGCAUUCAGUUAGAGAAAAUGGAGCACAAGCUGAACAAGAUGGAGCAGAAUUUGGCCUCAUACUUCGAGAGUGUGGGAUUUAUCCCACCAUUUCCACUAAGCCCAUAGACGUUAUGAGGAUCAAAGCUCACAAUUCAGGAAAGUUUUCGCCUUUAAUCUUUUAUCCUUACGCUUUAAUUUUUAUGUGAGCUUUGAUUAUCUUACAUUGGGGACAAUGUAAGUGUCUGUCAAUGACAAAUUUAACCCACUACCACCAUUCAUAAUUAACCAAAAUCAAAUAAAUUAAAAAAGAAAACACAAAACAAGGAUAACUACUAGUUGUUUUGAUCAUCCUUGCUUCUUUUUCUUAGCAUAGCUCUUGUAAUGAAAAUUAACAAAAAGGGCCAAAAGGGAAGCAUUAAACACAGUAUUGAAGCACCAACCCCAAAACCCAGGGAAACCAAAUCCCGUGAAAUGAUAAUUCAGCAUCAAAAUGAAAAAUGUUAUGGAUGGCUGUGAUGGGUCUGAGGAUGUGGGGUCCAAUGAGAGGUGAUGAUGAUGGUGAUGUUGAUGUUGAUGUGUGGUAGAGGAUGGAUGUGAGGGAGAGGUAAGUAAUGAUGGAGUGAAUGAGGAUGUGUGGGAAGAAAGCUAGGGUUUGGUCUUGAGUCCACGUGAAGUUGAAGACUUGUGGGUGGCUUACAAGCAAUAAUGGAGUGUUAAGCUGAUUGAAUUUGAAGCCAUGGCUGGUUUUGGGGGAAGAUUGAUUUGGGAGAGAUGAUGGUCAGAGGAAUGGGGGAGUUUAGAAAGUUUGGGAUAUUGUGACGGGUGUUUUAGGCAUAUUUUUUCGUCUUAGCUUAAAUUUUUGUUAAAAAAAUGAUAAAUUCUUUUCUCAUAUCAAUUUAAAACUCCGAGUAUGUUUCCAAUUCUUCUUCUAUAGUGUCUAGACCUUUGUUUCAACGGCAUCUUUGGACGCGGGUUUCUUCUUUUUUGGUUAUUUCUUCUCAAACUUGUGCAGAUUACAUGCACUCAACGUGGAACCCUUUUGAAUGGAAGUUACUGUUUUGCUGGAAUCGGGACCAAUUUUUUGACAAAAAUUUCGCUAUAAAAUAUACAAUUAAAGUCGAGUAAGAUUAAGUAAAGUAACAUCUUGUAUGGUAAAGUACAUCGAGUAAGGAUUUCUAUAAUCGAGCUAGAAAGUAUAAUUAAAAUUAGAUAAGAGUGCCGCGGAGCAUUGUUUUAAAGUUACAGUAUCAAAGUAUUUAAUAAAUAUUUAUUAUUGUGACUUAAAAAUUAAGUUGGGAGUACAAAAAAAUCAAUAAUACAUUUAUUAAUUUUGUCAAAAUUAUUAUUUAAAAAUCAUAUAUACAAUACAAGAUCAACAAUUAUAUUAUAGCUUCAGUUCCUUUUUCACAAUAACUAUAACUACAACACGGUAGUACUAAAUAGGAAGUCGAGUAUGAUCAAGUAAUUACAUGUUAUGGUUUUUUGGUAUUACAUGAUUCUUCAAACUGAAAUUUGCGAUCAAAAUUGUAUCAAAGAAAUCACAGAGACACUCUGUUUGACAAAUCUGCAGUAGAAUUUGCACAAUUUAACUGGAUUGCAGAGAGUGAAUAAGAUUCCAAAGCAACAGGCAAUUAUUGUUAUUAAGAAAACAAUUCAUCGCUAGAACAAAAUUAACUUUUCUAACAUACUAGAAUUUAACUGGAGAAAAAUUGGAAUAUACGACGUUGUAUCACAUAUAGUAUUUAGACAUCAAGAAAAGAAUCCCUCUAUUAGUGAACUAUACUUGCCAGGAAACACGGUGAAAUACCACUACCUCCCUACUAGAUUAAUGCAGCAAAAUUGGGCAAUUGACUUGAUUAACUCCAAGAAAUUUACGCAGUCACAUUCUUCCGGACUAUCCUCUUUCUUCGCACUUUAGGAGCUGUUGUUUCCCCUUACAGAGUCGACAUUCCCUUGUUUGAUGCCAAGGAGCCCAAGCCCAGAGCCAAUGGCAUUCUUUGGUAUCAACCACUUUGGGAACUUUUGAGUUGAGCCAUUGACAUCCUGAGACGGCCUGUUGUGAGCCUUCUUCAAAAGGUCAUCUGACUGAAGUAGCGGAUCCGCUUCCACUCCUAGCCAAGCAAGCCUUGAUCUUUCUCCUAAUUGGACAUUAAGAACCCUGCAUGGAAUCCAUUUGAGAAGUUGAACAAUAGACAAAGUCCAACACAUAUAGGCAGUAAAGAAGAAUUUGGACAGCAAUUACUGACUGUUUAUGCACAGGGCUGAACAAAUGGGAAUAUUAAGGCACUUAAAAGUUGGAACCAUAUUCACCACUUGUAUUUCCUCAGAGAACUAUCUCAGAGUUCUGUUAAUUUAAAACCAUUCUAACGUAUUUAACUACAAAACUAGAGAAAUCGUACUUCUGUAGCGGAGUCUCACUAUUGUUAAGGAUCUAGACUUGGAAAGUAUGCAAGUUGAUUAGGUAAAGAAAAAUUGAAAUAAUACUUGGUGAUAGAUCAACACACUUCAAUAGAAACCACACUAACAUCAUAUCAGACAAAUAAACAGAUUCCCCGAGUCAAAGUUUAACAAACAAAACAUUAAAACAAGGAUAAUUUGGUACGACCAGAAUAGUCUAUCAAUGUAUAUAGAGAGGGAGAGACCUCAAAGCAGCGCUUAAGAACAGUGCUACUCCAAUAACAUCAAUAUGGUUGAUGACCGCUCUAUCAAAUCCAUUGGAAAUCGUAUACUUAUAAUUUUUUUUUUCAAACUUUGUCUAAAAUAAAUGAAUGAGAUAAGAUAAAUUCGAAUAAAUUAAUCUGCAUAAUGACACAAGAAACAAAUGUAAAUUGACCACAAGUAGAAAUAUACUUUUGUUAUCUUCCAAUUUCUUUCCCUUGAGCUCUGUUUCUGCGAGUGCUCAAAAGCAAGACACGGGCCUUGUUAAGAGUAUAGCUGAAGCUGGUGACGUGUAUAAGCUGCUGAUGAAGCUGCUGAGCUGGCUGGCUAGUGAUGUGUAUAAAUUGAAGGUGCUGAGCUGGAUUGGGUUGUUGUUUACACCAACUAAAGCUGUAACAGAUUAUCCAGCUGGCUUGUUAUGAUUGGAAAUUAGAUUAGUUUGUUAAUACAGCAAACGAUUAGCUCUGUUUUAGUAGUUAGCCUUGAAUGUAACUAUAAAUACUGGCUAACACGUUUUCAGUGUUAAGCUUGAGUUUUAAUCAAUAAAAAUCAAUUCAGUUAAAGUUUCUUUGUUAAUUUUCUUUCACUUUCUCACUUGCCAAACAACCUAUUAAUUCUAAAAGGCCUCAAGAUAUAAUUAUCAUCAUCAAUCUUUUGCAGCCACAUGCAGUACUUGGAAAAUGUUUAUGGCCCUAAAUAACUGGAAAAUCAGAAAACAUUAAGAACAAGAGACUAAUCAUUUUAAUCGCAACAAAACAUGCACACUAUGAAAAUAUAAAAUUGAAUUACUUCGAAUGGAUGUGCCUCUUAACAGGAAUUGCACAAGCUAAUGAGCAAGUGAGCCUUGAACAGUUAUCACUCAACUCAAACUAAAAUGAAAUUACUGUGGACAUGUGAAUUAAAAAUAGAUGUAAAAGUAGUUUUCUCAAAGCAAAGUCAAGAUAAGAGAUUAACUCUGCUCCGUAAUUACAUUAAAAAUAACAAACAAUGAAAAACAGAGCUAGAGAAGAACUUACCUGUGCGUUGAGACCAUGUGGGGAAUGUGAGAUAUCUUCUUAGAUUUGGUUUGAGAAACCCUGCCAAUUAAAAUUUCGGUCCCCAUGUAGCAGAAUUUCUUAUUUUUCCUUUGUACACAAAUGCAGACACUUAAGCAAAUUAAGAUUUCUUAUCUAAAGCAAAUUAGGAUUUCUUUUGACCCUGCAAAUUACAAUUUCAGUCCCCAUGUAAUAGGAAAAUUUUGUACACAUAUUUAUAGCAAAUUAAUAUUUCAUACCUCACAAUAUUUAUCAGAACCAUCAAUCUUUAGAAACCACAUGCAGACUUGGUAAACUGUUUAUGGCCCAAAAUAACAGGAAAAUUAGAACAGAUUUUUAAGAAUGAGCGACUAAAUAUUUCAAUGGCAACUAAAAUUACACAUCUUGGAAAUCUGAAACUCAAGUACUCAGAACACUGUUAGUGCAUUGCAUAAGUCAAUUGCAUAAUCUUGGGUAAAAAUUACGCAGCAAUUAAACAAGCUGGGAACUUUAGUGCAAAUGCUUUUUCAUAAUCUUCAAUUGCAUAAGUCAGUUAGAAUCAAUCUUUCUUAAUCUUUCAAUUCACAUAUGAGAGCCUGAUAACACAAGGAAACACUGUAAGUGAAUUGUCAACUGUGACAAAUUUUGGGUAAAAAUUAUCAACUGUAGUUAUCUGCAUAACAUUUAGUGUCAACCCCAAAUUCCUUACUGAUCCGUGGAAGCAUUUCAGCCCACAGACGGUUAGCUUUGUCAAUAUACGGCAACUCAGGAUUCUAUAUUUAAACUAUGAUGUUUGAUGACUUGCUGAUACAAAAGACAUUGCCCCAAGCACUUUUUUACAUUAGCUAAAAUCAAGCCAAUCACUUCCAUUUGUUGCAGUUUUAAUGCAGAAAGAAAAAGGUGGGGAAAAAAUCUGCAAGAUGCCACUUGUAAUACCGCAUGUUCGCAGAAGCAGAGUUAAAUAAUUACAAAAUUACAUUCUUUAUGAAAGCUUGCGAUUAUUGGGAGAGCUCUACUCAAAUUUAAUGAGAUAUCUCUCAGAAGGGAGAGCUCUAAUAAUAUAUAAAGCCAAAAAUCUAACACUCAUCAAAUUGGCUUGUGAACAAUUAAUCUUCCUUGCCAUCAUAAAUGCCAGGUGUGGUGAACAAUCUUCAUUCUGACAUUUGCCUUAAUAAGCUGCUUAGUAUCCUUAACCUGAUAACUUACACAAACAAAAACAACUUCACUAAAGUUUAUUCUUUAAAGGCAAAACAGUAAACCAGAUGAUGUAUGCUGAUACAAAAAAUUGACCUGAGUUAUCCUGAUGUCAAGAAUCACAGAACCUCACGUGGGCAAAAUCAUCGCAAUACAAGAUGCUGAAUUCAAGCAACAUCUUAUCACCUGUAAUUUAAUUAAGACAAUAACUUUCCUCAACUAUUAGCCUUCUCAAUUUCAAUGUAUUAUUGGCAACUAAAUUCAUAGGGGACGCAGCUAAUUAAAUGCCCUUUUAACAAUAUCUUCCCCACCUAACAAUUAUUUGGAAAAUCUAAAUGACAAUCAUGCAUUGAUGGCAUAAAAUAUUGGCCACAAAGCUGCCUACAAAAAGGCUUUAAAUUCUUAAUGAGACAACGUAUUCGAACAAAUAUGGUGAAUGAAGAGACAAAGCAUAACACCUCAAGAAGUAAAGCUCUGUUUCUGUAUAUGCUCAAACCAAUGGAAACCCAUGGAAAUGGAUUUCUACGAAUUAGACAUGUCAGCCAAAACAGGUACUCUGUACAGGCAAAGUAAAAGAGAGUUACAAAAAAUUUUAAGAUAAUUAAACUUUUAAUAACCAUAUAAUUAAUAGAAAACUUUGUACACAAUGAUUUAUAUGAGAUUAAGAUUGUAUACCUAAGUUUUAAUUGCAAACUAAAUAUACACAACAUGAUAUUAGCAUUAGAAGACUGCACCAAAACGUACCGAAUUGAAUGUACCUUUUAACGGCCAUUGUACAUGCAUUGAAAGUUUACCGCAAAAUCUGUUUCAAACGUGAUGCAUCUUAGAGAUGCAAGAUGAGAAAUUGUUAGUACAACUAGCAUUGAAACAUGUGUGAAAACUGUUAAUGGACCUAAAUAACUUGAAAAUCAGAAAAGAUUAGGAAUGAGUGACUAAGCCUGCUAAUCACAACUAAUCCAAAACUGUUAAUGGACCUAAAUAAUAGUGUUAAUACCGAAUUCCUUCCUCCAUGGAAGCAUAUGAUCAGCCCACAUGUGCUUUGCUCUGUAGCUUUUGAGUACCUGAAAUUGUUAUUACAACCAGCGGUGAAAAUUGGGUGAAAAAAUGGUAAUGUUAGCAUAAUUGAAUUUGCUUAUAGAGGAUAAACCGAUCAAAGAAAAAAACAAGAUAGAAAUGAUUAUCUUAGUACCUUAAUAUCAUGCAAUAAAAAUCACCAUGCCUUCCAGGCAGCUGUCCAUCCUCAAUUGAAACAGAGCAGACCUGGCCAUCACUUUCUUCUUCAAAGUCCAGCAACGGAACGUUGCACACAACACCACAGUGGAAGUAGUUCCAUCACCAGCCUAAUCCUUGAUUACCCCAAUGUUCUCCAUAGGGUCUUCAAAGUCAACCUAAAAAUAAAAUGAAAAUGCAAUGCAUUAUUAUUAGGGAUCUAGUGCUUGAGCUUGCUUUGACAUCAUGGUAUUAGCAAAUUCUGAUAUAGCCAAAAUGGUGAAUAAGAUGAUGUACUUGAUAAGAAAAACCUGAUUUAACAAAUAAUUAAGAAGCCGGUAACAAUCACAUAAUCUCAUCAUGUGGGGAAUGCCUUGGUAACAGAAGAUGGUGCUUUCAUUCAAGCAAUAGCAACUUUCCAAUUUCAUAAGGUAGUUUAAUGGCCCUUUUAAGAACAUCUGUACCAGCCUAACAAUUAUUCAUGGAAAUUAAAAUUCAGAAUCAUAUUAGAUUGAGAGAUGAAAUAUAAUAAGCGAUUUGGCCACCAUAUAUGCAUUUAUCACCUUCAAUUUGCUCAUCUUUGUCUAGAGUAUUGCUUCUGCAUUAACUUAAUUAGCUUGCAAGCCACCUACAAAUGGUUUUAAAUAAUGUGUGAGAGUGUGAAUUCGAACGAAUUAAUCAAAUAUGCUGACAGGAGAAACAAAAGUAAAUAACCACAAGAAGUAGAAAUAUACUUUUGUUAUAUUCAGAGCAUCUUCUUGCGUCAAGUUCUUUUCCUUUAGCUCUGUUUCUGUUUGUGCUCAAACGCAAUGGCUCAAGGGUCAAGAUAAUUUUAUGACCAUCAAUCUUUUUGCAGCCACAUGCAGACUUGAAAAACAGGUCGUGGCCCUAAGGAACUUGAAAAUUAGAAAAGAUUCAGAAUGAGUGACUAAAUAUUAUAAUCGAAACUAAUUAAACAUACACGCCUAGAAAAUCUGAAACUGAACUUCUCAAAUGUAUAUGCCUCUUCGCAGCAAUUGCUUGUGGUGGAACUUUACUGCAAGGACUUUCUCAAACCCUUGAAGAUCACACUCUACCUGAUAACAAAGAAACAUAGUCAAUAUACGAAGAUGAUUUUACUAACAAGUGAGUGCUUACACAUAUUGGAAGGAUAAUGAUUACUCAUAACCCAAAUCCCCAACACUCCCUAAUAUCUCACUCAAGUGAGUUCGAGCCCCCAGAAUUCACUACUGUGAAACUCUUACAACAAAAUUCCCUUCAAAGAUUCUCUACUCAAAUUUGAUGAUGAUGUCCCUCGAAAGGAGGCAAAAAAUCUAACACUGAUCAAAUUGGCUUGUGAACAAUUAAUCUUCCUGCGAUCAUGCAUACCAGGUGUGGUGAGCAAUCUUCAUUCUGACAUUUGCCUUAAUAAGCGGCUUAGUAUCCUUAACUUGAUAACUUACACAAACAAAAACAACUUGAUUAAAGUUUAAUAUUUAGAGGCAGAACAGUAAAGAAGAUGAUAUAUAUUGAUACUAAAAUUUGACCUGUGUUAUCCUGACGUCAAGAAUCACAGCAUCUCAUGUGGGCAGAAUCUUUGCAGUACAAGAUGCUUGCAAAAUUGAAGCAGCAUCUUAUCACCUGUAAUUUAAUUAAGACAAUAACUUUCCCCAACCAUUUCAAUGCAUUAUUGCCAACUAAAUUCAGAGGGUGCUAAUUAAAUAGCCUUUGAACAAUAUAUUCUAAUUCUUCUCCAAUCUAACAAUUAUUUGGAAAAUCUAAAUUACAAUCAUGCAUCGAUGGCAUCAAAAUUUGGCUACAAAGCAGCCUGGAAAAGGCUUUACUCUCUGAAUGAGAGCAUGAAUGAAGAAACAAAUAUCAUGAAUGAAGAAACAAAGGCAUAAUACCACAAAAAAUAAAACUUUUUCCCAGGCUCUCUGUUUCUGUUUGAACUAAAACCAAUGGAAACCGAUGGAAAUGAAUUUCUAGGAAUUAGACAUAUCAGCCAAAACAGUUACUCUGUACAAGCAAAGUAAAAUAGGGUUACAAAAAAUUUUAAGAUUGAUAUGAUAAUUAAAAUUUCAGUCACCAUAUAAUUAAUAGAAAACUUUGGACACAAUGAUUUAUUGCAUAUUAA
rnacentral:lncRNA from 1 species